CCGCCCUCAGCCCAGCCGCCCACCCAGGGCUCUCCAGCCCAACCCCCGGGGCUGUGCCGGGCUAGGGGCGUGGCCUUCUCAGACCACGCCCCCGCCCAGGCUCAGGCUACGCGCCCUCGCUCGGCGGUGGAGGCGGCGACGGCGGCGCGCCGGUCCCACCCUCCGAACCCGCGCACCGCACUCGCCGUUCCGCGUCAGGCGCUACCUUUCCGGAUGCCCCGGGACCCCGCAGGACGCACACACCUACUCGUUUGUGGUCCGCGCCCGCUCCGGGCCUGGCACUGCCCCGGCCACCGCCGGAGCUCUGGGCGGCAGAGGAAGCGCCACGGCCGCCAGGGGGCGGCACAGUCGCCACCACUUAAAGGCGCCGCGCCAGCCCUCGUAGCUGCUGGAGGCUUGUGUAGCGGUCGGAGGGCGCAGAAGUCUUACUUUGCAGGAGGGGCGAGGGAAGAGAGUUGUGGUGUGGACACUUUGUGUCCGUCGUUGGAGGGUAGCCGAGCCGCGGAGCUCCGGUCCUCGGUAGCAUCUCCGUGCCCCAGCUGUAUUCACCCCACCCCUCGACUAUUGGUUGAAACUGCAGGGGGUGGGGCGCAGAAACGUUCAAUGAGGUGGCCUCCUGGUCACCGGGAGAAGCUGACCCAGGCCCAGGCUUAGGGCGUUGACCACCAACUCGCAGGACACGGCCAAAAUGAAAGGAAUGUCCCAGGCCCUGCGGACCGUGAGGAGCCUUCCUGUCCUCAUAGAGCACCAGGCUUGGGGAAGAGAAACGGACACGUCUCUCCUCCCAGGUUGCACUUGGUGAGUUGUGUCCCUACAACGGAGAACAAGAGACAGCAAGAAGACCAGAUGGCUGGAGCAGGAGGAGGAAAGCAGGAAGUAGAAGCCAGAGAGAAUGACCAGGUCCCGCAGGGUACUGGGCCUCGCCUUCUAAGUGAGAUGGGACUCUCUAAUUGCAUCAGGAUCACCUGAUACGAGCUCGAGCAAAUCAAAGGAGAGAGACCAGCUACGUGGCCACUGCAGUGACCUCAGCCAGCAACGAUGAGGGCUCAGCCCAGGUGGCAAAGAGUGGGCAGAUUGUAGGAAGAGCUCAAGGGGAGCUGAGGGAUUUGCUGUGGCUGGCACAUGGGACAUCACAUGCAUCUGAGGUCCCUGGUCCAAGUAGUUGGACAAAGGGAGUUGUAAGCAGUUAAAACAGGAAAGACCAAGGAGGUUCAGGUUCGGGGGCUUAAGUCAUGGGUUCUGUCUUGGACAUGUGCCAGAUAACCAGCAGAGAUGUCAAAUAAGCAACUUGAUAAAAGAGGCUGGAGCUCUGGGCUGUGACUCAGGUGAGAGAUAAAAUCGGGAGUUGCGAGAGGUCUCUCUUAGAACCACAAGACUGGAUGAGGUCACCCAGGACGUGAAGGGUAGGAGGAGAAAAGGUCAAGGAUGAACCAAGGGAGAGACAGUGUUUGGAGGCUAGCUAGGGGGUGAGGAAAUGGGAGGAAAUCCAGGAGAGUUCAUAGUCCAGGAAGCCAAGGGAAGGUGGGGUCUCUGGAGAAAAGGGACAAUCAGGUGGAUGGAAUAAAGGCGGGGCUGACAGAUGGCAUUGGAUCUCAAAGCUGGGAGGUCAUUGGUGGCCUUCAAAAAAGAUACGGGAACAUCUUUGGGAUAUGUUGUAUCAAAAGAAGCCAGGUGUAAUGCAGGACAUGUGAUAGGCUUCCUCUGCAUAAAGCAGCAUCUAAAUGAUAGGUUUGUGUGAAAGAUACCCAACAGUCCAUGCAUAGCAGUUCCCUUUGGGGAGAGAAACGGAAAGGAAAAACUUGGAAUGAAGGGAGCCUCAUUUUUGUGAAUAUCUAUUGGCCAAUUAAAACAUUUCUAAUCAAAAGUAUACUACUUUUGCAAUUACAAAAUAGAUGAGUAAAACACAUGGCUGUUAUGAAACAGGGAAACCUAUGACGUGCUGGGUUACAAGUCCAGAAACAUCUGUUGCCUGUAGAAACGGCUGUGCAAAGAAAGGAAACCCUCAGAGGCAAUCAUGCGGGUUUUCUAAUCCUUCACCAAGCUGAAAAUGGAUCAGGAGAAACCAAAAUAGCACUUGCCAAUAGAACAAAUUGGUAUUACCAUGCUUUAAAACACUGAAAAUAGUUACUUACCAUCAUUUAAAAUUGACUGUGUAUUUUCUGUGAUUUGAAUGUGGUUCAGUUGUGUGUCCCUUAAAGAUUGUGUGCUGGAAGUUUGGUUGCCAGUGUGGCUGUGUUGAGGUGGUGGCCCCUUAGGACGUGGGACCAGGGUGAUAAGGGUGAGUGGGGCCCUGCCCUCCAAAAGCGACAAUGUAACUUUCCAUGGACCCUCGUUAGUUCCCAAGGAACAGGUUGUCAGAAGCUGGAAAGCCUGGCCCUUCAGUCUUCUUGCUCCCUUUCUCAUACAAGUUCCUCCCAUGGCAUCAUGUGCCGUGUCGUGAUGUACUCAGAAGGCUCCCACCAGAGGCAAGUAGAAAGCUGUGCCACACUCUUGAUCCUCCAAAACUAUGCAAGAAAUAAACCUCCCUCCUCUCACAGAAACACCCAGCCUCGGGUGUUUUGUUACAGUGAAAGAAAAUAGAUUAAUAAUCAAAUAUCCCAAAUUGCUGCCUCUAGCCCAGAUGCAUAGCCAGCCCCUGUGUGGCAUGUGUUUAUGUGGUCCCCUGAUCUCCUGAUCUAGAUGAGUCCCCCUGGUGAAAGAGAUGGCGUCAGUUGCCCUGUAUAAAUUCUAACCUUCUAGUUUGUCCAGUUAUUUUCCUCAUGGUGCCAUUUAGCUUGUCCCUGUCUUCCCUGCAUUUCCUGCAAACUUGAAAUUAUAUCUGAAACCUUGAUUGGAAUCAAAGUAAAACCCUUUAGC